AAAAUUUGAUUUUUGGCAGGCUUUGCCCCCAAGUCUCUCAGGCUGUCCCACAUCAGAGCAAAAUUCGGCCCCCAACCAUUUCCUGGCCUCUGUGGCCACAGGCAGUUGACGCUGAUGCAGCUCACACAGUA
rnacentral:snoRNA from 1 species